rnacentral:lncRNA from 1 species
GGAGGAUUGUUUUUGUUUAAUUAGAGCUGUGAUAAUUCCCUGGGGGUGGGGAGGGGAAGAAAGAAGAAAAAGACUUUUAAGAGUUUCUGCUAGGCAUAUAAAAUGCCUCUUUGUUCUGCACUGUGCUACAUUUUCCCUCUGUCAGACACACCAUGGAGAACGUCAGUGAGCAUUGGUUUUGAUAUGAAACCCAUUGAUAUCUUUGGAGCGCUGACUUCAGCAGGCUUCAGGUCAAGUCCAGCAGCAAGGCCAAGAUUAAAACCUCUUUGCAAAAGUUACAUAACUACUAUGGUUUGGGAACAACUGUGAAAAACCAUAGCUGUGAAAGAUAUCGAAAUAUACAGAGAAGAGGUUAAUAGUGUGCAGAGGAAAUAUUCGCGGAAGUAAAUGGGGGAGUCUUUGGCUACUACAUGAUCUGAAGUUCCUUUAGUCAGCAAAAGUUUUUCUGUCAUCUUUUAACUUUAGAUGUGCCCCAGGUGUUCAAGCUGAAACUUGAUCAACAGUGUCAUUGACUUUCUAACUCAUUGAUUUUAUGAUCUUAACCUUGAUGUUGACUAACUCCUUCAAAUAGCUCAGGUUUUAACAUACUGUGGGUUUGUUUGUUUGUUUUUGUCUGUUUAUUUUGUUUUGUUUUUUUAAAGCUAAUCUGAAUCAAGAAUUAAACAACUAAAUUCAAAUAAUUAAGUUCAAUCUUCAAACUCAGAAAAUAUUCACAUUAGUGUUAAUUACCUGGACAAACAGGCUAUCCUUUAUUUUUCACAAGUCAUUACUCCUUGAUCAAAGACAUUUGACCCACCUGCAUUAGAACAAAGAAAAUCUCCUUCAAUGAUAAUGAAGCCUUAAUACCCAUCCCCUUUAAACAAUCCAAGUUAAUAUUUAAAAGAUGUCUUAUGCAAUUUAACACUCUCCUUAAUUGUAUUAUUAUUAUUAUUAUUAUUCAUCUUUGUACUUCAGUAUUGCAGAUGUCUAUCUUCUUUAUGUCUGUCAGCAGAUGAACUGCAACUGAACCCAAGAAACAGAUCAAUCUUUUUGAACUUGCUCUGACUAGGUAGAAAGGCCAUCCCAAGAAUUCAGGCAUUAACCCUGGAUUUGGAAAAUGAGGAGGGCCAUCUCUGAGUUGCUUAAGUCUUGUAUGGCAUUGAGGAAAUUGUUUUGGUCUAGACUGGACUCUCUAACUAUUCUUAAAUGACAAUUACAUUAGCCUUUAUGUUGUUUGGCCCCAGAAAGGGAUUCAGAGUCCAUGCUGUUGGGCUCCUCUCAAUCCCAGGAACACUUCAAAUCAACUACUUUGUCUGUGUUGGGACAGGUA